rnacentral:rRNA from 1 species
AAGUUGUUGUGGUUAAAAAGCUCGUAGUUGGAUCUCAGCUUACUCGCCAUGGUCCACUUGACGGUGGCUACUGUGGCGAUGAGCAAUUUAUCGCAUUGUCCUACGGUGUUCUUAACUGAGCGUCGUAGGCGAUCGAUACGUUUACUUUGAAAAAAUUAGAGUGCUCAAAGCAGGCAUCAUCGCCUGAAUACUGUUGCAUGGAAUAAUGGAAUAGGACCUUGGUUCUGUUCUGUUGGUCUUCGGAAUCGAGGUAAUGAUUAAGAGGGACGGACGGGGACAUUAGUACUGCGGCGAUAGAGGUGAAAUUCUUGGACCGCCGCAUGACUAACCAAAGCGAAAGCAUUUGUCAAGAACGUUUUCAUUAAUCAAGAACGAAAGUUAGAGGUUCGAAGGCGAUCAGAUACCGCCCUAGUUCUAACCAUAAACGAUGCCAACCAGCAAUCAGCCAGAGUUUAUUGUAUGACUCGGCUGGCGGCUUCCGGGAAACCAAAGUUUUUCGGUUCCAGGGGAAGUAUGGUUGCAAAGCUGAAACUUAAAGGAAUUGACGGAAGGGCACCACCAGGAGUGGAGCCUGCGGCUUAAUUUGACUCAACACGGGGAAACUCACCCGGUCCGGACACUGGAAGGAUUGACAGAUUAAGAGCUCUUUCUUGAUUCAGUGGGUGGUGGUGCAUGGCCGUUCUUAGUUGGUGGAGCGAUUUGUCUGGUUAAUUCCGAUAACGAACGAGACUCUAGCCUACUAAAUAGUGUUGGGCACCGUCGGUUGUCCGAACGCUUCUUAGAGGGACAAACGGCAUUUCAGCCGUAUGAAAAAGAGAAUAACUUGUCUGUGAUGUCCUUAGAUGUCCGGGGCCGCACGCGCUCUCCCCUGAAGAAAUCAACAUGAAUUUGCCAUCUACUCCCAAGGAACGAGAA